rnacentral:piRNA from 1 species
UGGAUUUAUUCUUGGAGUAAAGGAAA